GAUGAACGCUCGCGAUAGGCUUAACACAUGCAAGUCGAGGGGCAGCAUGGUCUUAGCUUGCUAAGACUGAUGGCGACCGGCGCACGGGUGCGUAACGCGUAUGCAACUUGCCUCACAGAGGGGGAUAACCCGUCGAAAGACGGACUAAUACCGCGUACACUUGGGAUAGGGCAUCCUGACCCAAGGAAAUGAAAUUCGCUGUGAGAUAGGCAUGCGUCCCAUUAGCUGGUUGGUGAGGUAACGGCUCACCAAGGCGACGCUGGGUAGGGGAACUGAGAGGGGGAACCCCUACACUGGUACUGCGACACGGACCAGACUCCUACGGGAGGCAGCAGUGAGGAAUAUUGGUCAAUGGGCGAGAGCCUGAACCAGCCAAGUCGCGUGAAGGAUGACUGUCUUAUUGAUUGUAUACUUCUUUUAUACGGGAAUAACAAGAGUCACGUGUGGCUCCCUGCAUGUACCGUAUGAAUAAGCAUCGGCUAACUCCGUG
rnacentral:rRNA from 1 species